rnacentral:rRNA from 1 species
GACGAACGCUGGCGGCGUGCCUAAUACAUGCAAGUUGAGCGAUGAAGAUUGGUGCUUGCACCAAUUUGAAGAGCAGCGAACGGGUGAGUAACGCGUGGGGAAUCUGCCUUUGAGCGGGGGACAACAUUUGGAAACGAAUGCUAAUACCGCAUAAUAACUUUAAACAUAAGUUUUAAGUUUGAAAGAUGCAAUUGCAUCACUCAAAGAUGAUCCCGCGUUGUAUUAGCUAGUUGGUGAGGUAAAGGCUCACCAAGGCGAUGAUACAUAGCCGACCUGAGAGGGGGGUCCGCCAACGUGGGACCUGGACCCGGCCCCAACCUCCACGGGAGGCAGCAGUAGGGAAUCUUCGGCAAUGGACGAAAGUCUGACCGAGCAACGCCGCGUGAGUGAAGAAGGUUUUCGGAUCGUAAAACUCUGUUGGUAGAGAAGAACGUUGGUGAGAGUGGAAAGCUCAUCAAGUGACGGUAACUACCCAGAAAGGGACGGCUAACUACGUG